rnacentral:rRNA from 1 species
GACGAACGCUGGCGGCGUGCUUAACACAUGCAAGUCGAACGAAGUGGCGAACGGGUGAGUAAUACGUGGGUAACCUGCCCUCCUUAUUGGGAUAAGCCUUGGAAACGGGGGCUAAUACCGGAUAAGGGGGGAUGGGCUCGCGGCGUAUUAGCUUGUCGGUGGGGUAAUGGCAUACCAAGGCGGUGCCGGGUAGCCGGCCUGAGAGGGUGACCGGCCACAUUGGGACUGAGAUACGGCCCAGACUCCUACGGGAGGCAGCAGUAGGGAAUCUUCGGCAAUGGACGGAAGCCUGACCGAGCAACGCCGCGUGAGUGAAGAAGGCCUUCGGGUUGUAAAGUACUUUCAGCGGGGAGGCGUUACCCGCAGAAGAAGCACCGGCUAACUCCGUGCCAGCAGCCGCGGUAAUUC